rnacentral:rRNA from 1 species
AUACGAAGGGGGCUAGCGUUGCUCGGAAUUACUGGGCGUAAAGGGCGCGUAGGCGGACAGUUAAGUCAGAGGUGAAAGCCCAGGGCUCAACCUUGGAAUUGCCUUUGAUACUGGCUGUCUUGAGUUCGGGAGAGGUGAGUGGAAUGCCGAGUGUAGAGGUGAAAUUCGUAGAUAUUCGGCGGAACACCAGUGGCGAAGGCGACUCACUGGCCCGAUACUGACGCUGAGGCGCGAAAGCGUGGGGAGC